CCGCUGAAAGAUGGGCUCGCGUCUGAUUAGAUAGUUGGUGAGGUAACGGCUCACCAAGUCGACGAUCAGUAGCCGGACUGAGAGGUUGAACGGCCACAUUGGGACUGAGAUACGGCCCAGACUCCUACGGGAGGCAGCAGUGGGGAAUAUUGCACAAUGGGGGAAACCCUGAUGCAGCAACGCCGCGUGAAGGAAGACGGUUUUCGGAUUGUAAACUCCUGUUGUUGGGGAAAAAGAGGAUGGUACCCAACAAGGAAGUGACGGCUAACUAC
rnacentral:rRNA from 1 species